rnacentral:rRNA from 1 species
GACAAACGCUGGCGGCGUACUUAAGACAUGCAAGUCGAACGGGUGUCCUGCUUUCGGGUGGGAUGCUAGUGGCGGAUGGGUGAGUAACGCGUAGGAACCUGUCGUUAAGUGGGGGAUACCGCUGGGAAACCGGCGCUAAUACCGCAUGUGGUCGAGCGAUCGAAGAAAGCAGCAAUGCGCUUGAUGAGGGGCCUGCGUCCGAUUAGCUAGUUGGUGGGGUAAAGGCCUACCAAGGCGCGAUCGGUAGCUGGUCUGAGAGGAUGGUCAGCACACUGGGACUGAGACACGGCCCAGACUCCUACGGGAGGCAGCAGUUAGGAAAUUUUCA